rnacentral:rRNA from 1 species
GACGAACGCUGGCGGCGUGCUUAACACAUGCAAGUCGAACGGAAAGGCCCUGCUUUUGUGGGGUGCUCGAGUGGCGAACGGGUGAGUAACACGUGAGUAACCUGCCCUUGACUUUGGGAUAACUUCAGGAAACUGGGGCUAAUACCGGAUAGGAGCUCCUGCUGCAUGGUGGGGGUUGGAAAGUUUCGGCGGUUGGGGAUGGACUCGCGGCUUAUCAGCUUGUUGGUGGGGUAGUGGCUUACCAAGGCUUUGACGGGUAGCCGGCCUGAGAGGGUGACCGGCCACAUUGGGACUGAGAUGCGGCCCAGACUCCUACGGGAGGCAGCAGUGGGGAAUAGUGCACAAUGGGCGGAAGCCUGAUGCAGCAACGCCGCGUGCGGGAUAACGGCAUUCGGGUUGUAAACCGCUUUCGCCUGUGACGAAGCGUGAGUGACGGUAAUGGGUAAAGAAGCACCGGCUAACUACGUG